rnacentral:lncRNA from 13 species
ACUCCAUGUUGCUAUUCGUAUGCUUUAUAGUAUAGUAUAGUAUAUAAAAACUAGCCACCCAUCUAUGGAACGUUAAGCUAUCACCCAAGACAGUCAAAGCCUCCCAUAAUUCAAUAUCUCACACUGUCUUCUGGUUGGUCAAAAAAUAAACGACUUUACCUCUUAAAAAGCAUAUACUUAAAAAAUGGGAUGAGGUGGAAUUCCCUCCUUAAAAAUGUUUCUGGAGCUACUAAAAGCCUUGAGUUUACAAAAUAGUUGAUAAAAAUACUCUUCUGGACUGUACGAGAGGGGAGACAGGGACUGCCAGUAAGACAGCGUCUGUGAUGUUAAUCAGACCUGGCUUCUUCCUCUCUGGCGUCAUCAGAGGCUGGGCUCUUCUAGAUUGCAGUUUCUCCAUUUUCUGCAGGUGAAUAUUCUUGAGUUUCUUGGUUAGCCACUUGGCCUGUUUUCUCUUUGCUCCCCUUUUCCCUUUUGUUUGUACGUUUUUGUCUGAAGAUGUAUCCUUUCCUGCUGCCUUUUUGGCCUCGCUUCCACUUUUGCAGGAGCAGGUUUAGUUGACAACCAUGCCCAUCCCUUCUUGGGCUCUUCUGUCACUGCCCCUUGGGUGGAACUGCACUUCCUCUCAGGCAUUAGCAGUGGGAAGGGUGUGAGCUGCUGUGCUCCGAGAGGCUUCGCGAGGCUGGGCUCAAUAUUUGUUAAUGAUCAACAAAGUAUUUAUGUUGACAGCCCAAAUAUCCCUUUCCAUAGUUUCCACCUGAAGACUUAGCUCUCCCUUCUGGUGCAAAACAGAAGUGCCUAAUCUUUCUUCCAUGAGCUUUAAGGAAUUCAAGAAGCUGCUGCCCCGUGGGCCUUGGUCGGUCUCCUCCGUGUUGCUCCUGGUUAAACUCUUAUUCCUCAGGCACAUAGGUCAUUGGAGAGCUGGAAGCCAAGCACCCUCCUCCACGUUCUUUCUACCAUACCAUGUGGCUCCUGUCGAUACCGACCCCUGAAGGUGGACCAAUCCUGGAAGAUCAAGAGCUUGACUGGAAGUUUGGACCCCAGAGACCAACACAUACAGAAGGAAGACAAUGUAGAGACAUGGGGGAAAAGACAGCUGUUGCCCCGCCGGAGAGGCUUGAGACUACCAGGAAGCGAAAGAGAGCCUGGAGCAGAUUCCCCGUCCAGUCUACAGAAGGAGCCAGCCCUGCCGACACCCUGAUUUUGGACUCCUCGCCUCCUGAACCGAAAGACUAUCAUUGUCUGUUGCGUGAGUCACCCAGUGUGUGGAGAUCUGUUAUGGCAGCUAAAGGAAACUGACAACCCCUGAUUCAUGGGAGGGCCCUGAGUGGUCUUAACAAUUGGCCACAGGCAGUGUCCUGGUGGGCUGGGUCAGGGGCAGCUCUGGGAGGUGAAGAAGGUGACCUCAGGAGAAGGCAGGGUGGCCUGAAGCCCAGCAGACACUCCAGUGGCUAGUGAGCAGCUGUGGUUCCUCAGGAAUGAAGGGCGGUAGGUAUCUUCCAGAGGGGGACCUGCCACAGGAGCGGCAGAAGGUUGGAACCUGAGGUCAUAGUGCUCUUCCUGCUGCCUUGGGUCUAAUGAAAAGAGCUGGCAGCUUGCACAAUGAGCUCCCACUGAGUGCUGGUCGUUAACGCCCCUUUUCUAAAGAAUGAGAAGUCAGAAGGGCACACAGGGACAUGGCUUUGGGUACAAGAAUUCCAAGUUCAGAGGAGCCAGGCACGAAUCUCCCCAGAGCACCAAAUGACUACAAAACCCUUUUCUUAAUCAAUCAUAUUUUAUUGUCAGUUAUAAAUAUUUUCCACUUGUCCCCUAUUUACAACUGCAAAAUAGUUUAUCAUACCCUCACCCACCAAUCAGCAUCUUUCUAUAAACUCCAUGAAAAUUGAAUAGGAAAUAAAAAGCUCUUCUUGGGGGCCCA